AUAUAAGAUGGAAGUGAAUAGGAACAGGAUAAUAGUAACAUUGUUAGAUGCCUAGGAAGGAGGUAAGCAAAAUUUUUAUUGGAGGCAGGUGGUGGACAUAUUGAAACUUCAAAUGUUGCUUUUCAUUUUGUCUUGGAGCAGGCUACUUGAGAAAGGACUUUGAAAGUGGACAAUCUCAAAAUAGAAGGGGAAAAAAAAAACAAAAGAGAGAGAGAGAGA
rnacentral:misc_RNA from 1 species